AGUGAACGCUGGCGGUAGGCCUAACGCAUGCAAGUCGAACGGCAGCACAGUAAGAGCUUGCUCUUACGGGUGGCGAGUGGCGGACGGGUGAGGAAUACAUCGGAAUCUACUUUUUCGUGGGGGAUAACGUAGGGAAACUUACGCUAAUACCGCAUACGACCUACGGGUGAAAGCAGGGGAUCUUCGGACCUUGCGCGAUUGAAUGAGCCGAUGUCGGAUUAGCUAGUUGGCGGGGUAAAGGCCCACCAAGGCGACGAUCCGUAGCUGGUCUGAGAGGAUGAUCAGCCACACUGGAACUGAGACACGGUCCAGACUCCUACGGGAGGCAGCAGUGGGGAAUAUUGGACAAUGGGCGCAAGCCUGAUCCAGCCAUACCGCGUGGGUGAAGAAGGCCUUCGGGUUGUAAAGCCCCUUUGUUGGGAAAGAAAAGCAGCAGGUUAAUACCCCGCUGUUCUGACGGUACCCAAAGAAUAAGCACCGGCUAACUUCGUG
rnacentral:rRNA from 1 species